UUGCGAGAGCGCAGCUACCAUGCAGUCGACGUGAGCAGGAGCUUGCUCCUGUGGAAAGUGGCAGACGGGUGAGUAACGCGUGGGAAUCUACCCAGCUCUACGGAAUAACGCAGGGAAACUUGUGCUAAUACCGUAUACGUCCUCCGGGAGAAAGAUUUAUCGGAGUUGGAUGAGCCCGCGUUAGAUUAGUUUGUUGGUGGGGUAAUGGCCUACCAAGACUACGAUCUAUAGCUGGUCUGAGAGGAUGAUCAGCCACACUGGGACUGAGACACGGCCCAGACUCCUACGGGAGGCAGCAGUGGGGAAUAUUGCACAAUGGGCGCAAGCCUGAUGCAGCCAUGCCGCGUGAGUGAAGAAGGCCUUAGGGUUGUAAAACUCUUUCACCGGUGAAGAUAAUGACGGUAGCCGGAGAAGAAGCCCCGGCUAACUCCGUGCCAGCAGCCGCGGUAAUACGGAGGGGGCAAGCGUUGUUCGGAAUUACUGGGCGUAAAGCGCGCGUAGGCGGACUGGUCAGUUGGGGGUGAAAUCCCGAGGCUCAACCUCGGAACUGCCCUCAAUACUGCCAGUCUAGAGUUCGGAAGAGGUAAGUGGAAUUCCUAGUGUAGAGGUGAAAUUCGUAGAUAUUAGGAAGAACACCAUUGGCGAAGGCGGCUUACUGGUCCGAUACUGACGCUGAGGUGCGAAAGCGUGGGGAGCAAAACGGAUUAGAUACCCUGGGAGUCCACGCCGUAAACGAUGAAUGCCAUUUGUCGGUUAGUAUACUAAUCGGGGACGCAGCUAACGCAUUAAGAUUUCCCCCUGGGGAGUACGGUUCCCAGAU
rnacentral:rRNA from 1 species